CUUCCUGUACCAGGUCCUGCAGAGCGACGAGCUGGACUCCAAGAUGGCAAGCUGCAGCUAUGUAGCCCACGAGCGACUCAGCUAUGCCUUCUCGGUCUGGAGGAUGGAGGGGGCCUGGUCCAUGUCUGCGUCCCACUAGCAGGCGGAGCUCCCCACCCCCUCGGCAGGCCGGAGACCUAGAUGUCAUUGUUUCCAGAGAAGGAGAAAAUGGACAGUCUAGAGAACUCUGGAGCUGGAUAACUAAAAAUAAAUCUAUAUGACAAAGAUUUUCUUGGAAAUUAGAAGAGCAGAGCCCAAAUUCAAAAGAAUCGGGGCGUGGGGCACACUUUUAAAAGAGAAAGCCAGACAGGCCGGUGGACCGAGAUUCCCAGAGAGGCAGCGGCACUACCCUCAUACCUCUGCAUUCUGAUAGAAGUCCGAACCAUUGUUUGUGCCCCCCCCCCGACGAAGAAUGUUUUAUUUUUUUUCAUACAUGUAUGCAUUCUCAAGAGGUCGUGCCAAUCAGCCACUGAGGGGAAAGGCAUCAUUGUGGACUUUCUCCAUUUUAAAAUGGUAACAAUCAGAGGAAUUUUAACAACACCUGUAGAAAUAAAAACAGUGGGAUCAAACUGGCCUACAAAACCAUAGUCAGUGAAUUCCUUUAAAAAAAAAAAAACACACAGAACUUCCUCUGAAGGAAAAGAAAACAUAAAAUACAAAAGACAACAUUCUAUUUAUUUAUUGAUGACCCAUGGUAAAAUGCAAAUAGAUCCGGUGUCUAAAUGCAUUCAUAUUUUUAUGACUGUUUUGUAAAUAUCUUUUGUAUAUUAUUUUUCUGCAAUAAAUAAAUAUGAUUGAAAAAUUUUAAGAACUUUAAAGUUUGGUCUAUACUUUAAAACUCAGAAUUAGGUUUCUGGUGGUAAAUACUUGUUUGUUUAACUCUAGGGAUAUCAGGGAGGGAGUGGGGGCACUAAUAUAAACAAAGAAGGGAAACCUCAAAUAAACCAGCUACUGACAGAGACAGCCAUGCUAUUUAAAGGACAGCUCUAUUAUUAUUACAGCUUGGUGUUCAGCGGGGCUUGCUGCCUCUCCACCUCUUAGGCUGGAUUGAGCAGAUUUACUGUUGCUUACCUCUUACUUAGAGUGGGAACUAAAUUAUUCAAAUGAGCAAUAUGAAACAGUUACUAUGCAUUUUUGCCCUUCCCUUUAUUUCCAUGAAGAUUCCUAAAAAGUUGUAUUUCACUGAAAGGCUAGUGUGUUAAUGCAAACAAUACAUACAUUAUAUGCAUUGUACUUGAAAUGUGUAGAAAAAACCUAAUUGAGAGGAAGAUUGCUGUGUGAUUUGUUUACCUCUUUAGUGAAUGAAUGAUGCCCAGUGCUUUGCUGAUUAAAAAGGAAAAGGGUUUGCUAUAUUAAUGUUAUCCCCAAGGGAAAGGGAAACAUGCUCUUGAUACACACCUAAUACACAGCUGUGCAAUAAAAAUAAAUACCUAAAUUGUAGGUGCCCUUGGUAAGUGCUGGAACAAUUACAAUUGUUAAAUGCCACAGAGUUUCAGUCUUCAGUCAGUACUAUGUGCGCACGCACACACACACACACACACACACACACACACACACACACACACACACUCCUGAAGCUCUGUAAAACCUGGGCAGAUGGCACUUGAUUUUUAUUUCAUUCGGGAUAUUUCUG
ensembl:lincRNA